AUACGGAGGUGGCGAGCGUUGCUCGGAUUUACUGGGUGUAGAGAGCACGUAGGCGGCCUUGUAAGCCCUUCCUGAAAGGCUCUGGCUCAACCAGAGCAGUGGGCAGGGGACUGCAGGACUAGAGGAUGGAAGAGGCAAGCGGAAUUCCCGGUGUAAGGGUGAAAUCUGUAGAUAUCGGGAGGAACACCAGUGGCGAAAGCGGCUUGCUGGUCCGGAACUGACGCUAAGGCGCGAAAGCGUGGGGAGCAAACAGGAUUAGAUACCCCAGUAGUCC
rnacentral:rRNA from 1 species